rnacentral:rRNA from 1 species
CCUACGGGAGGCAGCAGUGAGGAAUAUUGGUCAAUGGGCUUACGCCUGAACCAGCCAAGUCGCGUGAGGGAAGACUGCCCUAUGGGUUGUAAACCUCUUUUGUCAGGGAGCAACGCCGGCUACGUGUAGCCGGACUGAGAGUACCUGAAGAAAAAGCAUCGGCUAACUCCGUGCCAGCAGCCGCGGUAAUACGGAGGAUGCGAGCGUUAUCCGGAUUUAUUGGGUUUAAAGGGUGCGUAGGCGGAUUUUUAAGUCAGCGGUAAAAUGUCCGGGCUCAACCCGGGCCGGCCGUUGAAACUGGGGAUCUUGAGUGGGCGAGAAGUAUGCGGAAUGCGUGGUGUAGCGGUGAAAUGCAUAGAUAUCACGCAGAACUCCGAUUGCGAAGGCAGCAUACCGGCGCCCGACUGACGCUGAGGCACGAAAGCGUGGGGAUCGAACAGGAUUAGAUACCCGGGUAGUC